rnacentral:rRNA from 1 species
GGUUCGAUUCGUCUGGAUUGAACGCUGGCGGAGAUGUUUUUCACAUGCAAGUCGAACGGCAGCACGACUUUAUCUGGUGGCGAGGUGGCGAACCGGGUGAGUAAUGUAUCGGAACGUGCCUAGUAGCGGGGACAACCACGAAAGUGGAAGCACACCGGGCAUACGCCCUUCGGGGGAAAGCGGGGGGACCUUUCGGGCCUCGCACUAUUAGAGCGGCCGACACCAGAUUAGCUAGUUGGUGGGGUAACGGGGCUCACCAAGGCGACGAUCCGUAGCUGGUUUGAGAGGAGACAUCUCCAGCCACACACUGGGACUGAGACACGGCCCAGACUCUACGGGAGGCAGCAGUGGGGAAUUUUGGACAAUGGGGGAAACCCUGGAUCCAGCCAUCCCGCGUGUGCGAUGAAGGCCUUCGUUGUAAAGCACUUUGGCAGGAAAGAAACGGCACGGGAUAAUACCCCGUGCAACUGACGGUACCUGCAGAAUAAGCACCUGGCUAACUACGUGCCAGCAGCCGCGGUAAUACGUAGGGUGCAAGUGUUAAUCGGAAUUACUGGGCGUAAAAGCGUGCGCAGGCGGUUCGGAAAGAAAGAUGUGAAAUCCCAGAGCUUAACUUUGGAACUGCAUUUUUAACUACCGAGCUAGAGUGUGUCAGAGGAGUGUGAAUUCCGCGUGUAGCAGUGAAAUGCGUAGAUAUGCGGAGGAACACCGAUGGCGAAGGCAGCCUCCUGGGAUAACACUGACGCUCAUGCACUUGAAAGGCGCGUGGAGCAAAUGGGUGAUUAGACACUGGUAGUCCACGCCCUUCUUAAACGAUGUCAACUAGCUGUUGGGGCCUUCGGGCCUUUGGUAGCGCAGCUAACGCGGUGAAGUUGACCGCCUGGGGAGUACGGUCGCAAGAUUAAAACUCAAAGGACGGGGACCCGCACAAGCGGUGGAUGAUGUGGAUUAAUUCGAUGCAACGGCGAACCCGACGUCUUGAUAUGUCAGAACCCUAGUGAUUUGGGAGUGCUCGCAAGAGAACCGAACACAGGUGCUGCAUGGCUACGUCAGCUCGUGUCGUGAGAUGUUGGGUUAAGUCCCCGCAAUUACAACCUCGCCAGCUGGGGGUUGCUACGAAAGGGCACUAUAAUGAGACUGCCGGUGACAAACCGGAGGAAGGUGGGGACGACGUCAAGUCCUCAUGGCCCUUAUGGGUAGGGCUUCACACGUCAUACAAUGGUCGGUGAUUGUGGAGGGUCGCCAACCCGCGAGGGGGAGCCAAUCCCAGAAACCCGAUCGUAGUCCGAUCGCAGUCUGCAACUCGACUGCGUGAAGUCGGAAUCGCUAGUAACUGCGGAUCAGUAUGUCGCGGUGAAUACGUUCCCGGUCUUGUACACACCGCCCGUCACACCAUGGAGUGGGUUUUACCAGGCGCAGUUAGCCUAACCGUAAGGAGGGCGAUUACCACGGUAGGAUUCAUGACUGGGGUGAAGUCGUAACAAGGUA